GGAACCAGCUCUAAUCCACUGGGAAGUCCCCAGCCACCAACCACAGAGAAAAGAAUUAUGAGGUGGAGGGUGCCCAGGAGACAAGGAUGCAAAGAAGUCCUGGCAUGGACGGAGAGACCAGGCCAUGGUGCCUAGCCUAGGACUCCCAGACGCACAUGGCAGAAAGCAGUCUCUGCCCAGAGCAUUCAUUUCUACCAAUCCUAUGAAUCCUCAAGACAGUGCUCUUGUGGCUGCAUAAGACACAAGGUCCCAGGAAGCCGGCCCAGGUCUGUCUCUGCCCUGCUCUGGAUCAUCCUGUCAGCUUUGACUCCGCCCACACCCAUUUUUUCCUUGGUCUCUGCAGAAGCAGCAGCCUGAGCCACUUCGAGGUCAAGGCCAACAGCUCGCUGGAGAGCUAUGAUGGCAUCGGGCCUCCAUUCAACUGUGUUUUCAAGGUGCAGAACCUGGGCUUUUUCCCCAUCCACGGGGUGAUGAUGAAGAUUACUGUGCCCAUUGCCACCAGGGGUGGCAACCGCCUGCUGAUGCUGAAGGACUUCUUCACAGACCAGGUCAACACAUCCUGUAACAUCUGGGGGAACAGCACAGAGUACCGGAGUACCCCAACUGAGGAAGACCUGAGCCAUGCCCCACAGAGGGUGAGUAUCCCUGUGCCAAGAGCCAAGGAGCGUGGUUCGAGUCCCUCCCCAUUCCAGGGCCUUCUCUCUUGCCCGAGUGUGGCCAUCAGUGAGAUGGUCCAUGGGUAAAAGACCGUGCCACCAA
rnacentral:sRNA from 1 species